CGGAUCCUUCGGGAUUAGUGGCGGACGGGUGAGUAACACGUGGGAACGUGCCUUUUGGUUCGGAAUAGCUCCUGGAAACGGGUGGUAAUGCCGAAUGUGCCCUUCGGGGGAAAGAUUUAUCGCCAUUAGAGCGGCCCGCGUCUGAUUAGCUAGUUGGUGAGGUAAAGGCUCACCAAGGCGACGAUCAGUAGCUGGUCUGAGAGGAUGACCAGCCACAUUGGGACUGAGACACGGCCCAAACUCCUACGGGAGGCAGCAGUGGGGAAUCUUGCGCAAUGGGCGAAAGCCUGACGCAGCCAUGCCGCGUGAAUGAUGAAGGUCUUAGGAUUGUAAAAUUCUUUCACCGGGGACGAUAAUGACGGUACCCGGAGAAGAAGCCCCGGCUAACUUCGUGCCAGCAGCCGCGGUAAUACGAAGGGGGCUAGCGUUGCUCGGAAUUACUGGGCGUAAAGGGAGCGUAGGCGGACAUUUAAGUCAGGGGUGAAAUCCCAGAGCUCAACUCUGGAACUGCCUUUGAUACUGGGUGUCUUGAGUGUGAUAGAGGUAUGUGGAACUCCGAGUGUAGAGGUGAAAUUCGUAGAUAUUCGGAAGAACACCAGUGGCGAAGGCGACAUACUGGAUCAUUACUGACGCUGAGGCUCG
rnacentral:rRNA from 1 species